AAAGAUUAAAUCAAAGUCCUAUCUAUAUACCCAAAGAAGCUAAUGCUAGAUAUCUUUUUCAGAAAUUGCUUGAUUCAUCAUCUAAUAAUAUCAAUGGAAACUCGGACUAGCUAGCUACUAGCUAGGAUAUCUUCGGGGGUUUUGGGAGUCGGUUCGUGGGCGCCUUCAGUUGGUACGACGUCGGUAAAAGGUUUUGUUUUGAUCUGGGCGAUUGGUUGUGUUUGAAGAUGGUCUUUGGCAUCUUUGAAUUCGUUUUCCCAGUCCUAGGGAGUGGAAUCAAACUCGAAGGUGGUCUUCAAGGUUUAGCCAUGCGGCACACUGG
rnacentral:lncRNA from 1 species